GAUGAACGCUGGCGGCGUGCCUAAUACAUGCAAGUCGAGCGAACGGACGAGAAGCUUGCUUCUCUGAUGUUAGCGGCGGACGGGUGAGUAACACGUGGAUAACCUACCUAUAAGACUGGGAUAACUUCGGGAAACCGGAGCUAAUACCGGAUAAUAUUUUGAACCGCAUGGUUCAAAAGUGAAAGACGGUCUUGCUGUCACUUAUAGAUGGAUCUGCGCUGCAUUAGCUAGUUGGUAAGGUAACGGCUUACCAAGGCAACGAUGCAUAGCCGACCUGAGAGGGUGAUCGGCCAUACUGGAACUGAGACACGGUCCAGACUCCUACGGGAGGCAGCAGUAGGGAAUCUUCCGCAAUGGGCGAAAGCCUGACGGAGCAACGCCGCGUGAGUGAUGAAGGUCUUCGGAUCGUAAAACUCUGUUAUUAGGGAAGAACAUAUGUGUAAGUAACUGUGCACAUCUUGACGGUACCUAAUCAGAAAGCCACGGCUAACUACGUG
rnacentral:rRNA from 1 species